GCGGAAUCGACAUCAAGAGAUUUCGG
rnacentral:piRNA from 1 species